rnacentral:rRNA from 1 species
UACGUAGGGGGCUAGCGUUGUCCGGAAUCAUUGGGCGUAAAGAGCGUGUAGGCGGCCCGGUAAGUCAGCUGUGAAAGCCCCGGGCUCAACCUGGGAACUGCGGUUGAAACUGGCGAACUAGAAUCUGGCAGAGGGGGGUGGAAUUCCACGUGUAGCAGUGAAAUGCGUAGAGAUGUGGAGGAACACCGAUGGCGAAGGCAGCCCCCUGGGCUGAGAUUGACGCUCAGGCACGAAAGCGUGGGGAGCAAACAGG